GAGUGUGGGUGGCAUUCUUCUGGUCUUGCCUGAUCCAAGUGGGGACUUGGCCAAGGUGCUUUUGCAAAGGCGUAGACGUCUUGGUUGUUGAAUUGGAGGGUAGUGUGUGAGACUGGUUUCACAGAGCAGCAAAAACCUCCAACUCUCUUCAGUGGAUAGAUAACGGAUCGGUGCAAUCCACACUCGUU
rnacentral:SRP_RNA from 1 species